rnacentral:rRNA from 1 species
ACCUGGUUGAUCCUGCCAGUAGUCAUAUGCUUGUCUCAAAGACUAAGCCAUGCAUGUCUAAGUAUAAAUGUUAUACAGUGAAACUGCGAAUGGCUCAUUAAAACAGUUAUAGUUUAUUUGAUGUUGAAGAUUUACAUGGAUAACCGUGGUAAUUCUAGAGCUAAUACAUGCUUAAAUGCCUUACUUUCGCGGAAUGGCUGUAUUUAUUAGAUAAAAACCUCUACCUCGGGUCUUGUGGUGAGUCAUAAUAACUGAUCGAAUCGCCGGGCACUGCCCGCGAUAAAUCAUUCAAGUUUCUGCCCCAUCAGUUUCGAUGGUAGUGUAUUGGACUACCAUGGCUUUAACGGGUAACGGAGAAUUAGGGUUCGAUUCCGGAGAGGGAGCCUGAGAAACGGCUACCACAUCUAUGGAUGGCAGCAGGCGCGUAAAUUACCCAAUCCUGAUUCAGGGAGGUGGUGACAAGAAAUAACAUACAGACCUUCGGUUUUGUAAUUGUAAUGGGCCUAAUUUAUACCUCUUAGUGAGUAGCAAUUGGAGGGCAAGUCUGGUGCCAGCAGCCGCGGUAAUUCCAGCUCCAAUAGCGUAUAUUAAAGUUGUUGCAGUUAAAAAGCUCGUAGUUGGAUUUCUGAGAGCGUUUCUUUCUCAUUCCACUGGAUUGUACGAUUGACAACUCUCUCAUCCUUCUGUUAACCUAGGCAAGCAUUCAUUUGCUUCUUAGGGGCUCAGUUACUUUACCUUGAGAAAAUUAGAGUGUUUCAAGCAAGCUUGCGCCGGAAUACAUUAGCAUGGAAUAAUAGAAUAGGACAUCCGUCUCGUUAUUGGUAUGAGUUGGAAGUAAUGAUUAAUAGGGACAGUUGGGGGCAUUAGUAUUUAAUUGUCAGAGGUGAAAUUCUUUGAUUUGUUAAAGACUAACUUAUGCGAAAGCAUUUGCCAAGGAUGUUUUCAUUAAUCAAGAACGAAAGUUAGGGGAUCAAAGACGAUCAGAUACCGUCCUAGUCUUAACCAUAAACUAUACCGACUAGGGAUCGGAGGAGAGAUUAUCCUCCUUCAGCACCUUACGAGAAAUCAAAGUCUUGGGGUUCUGGGGGGAGUAUGGUCGCAAGGCUGAAACUUAAA